rnacentral:sRNA from 1 species
UUUUUGCGUGAGGGAUAGCAGCGAUUACCCCGCAAAGUAUGAGCUUUUGCAUUUUGCAAAAGUGCAUAAUUGAGGAGUAAAAGUGAAUAGCCCGACCCUUU